rnacentral:misc_RNA from 1 species
AAGUCGUAACAAGGUUUCCGUAGGUGAACCUGCGGAAGGAUCAUUAACAGAUUCUGCUAGCCAGAUAUCUUACCCCGUGUGAACUGUUCUUUAGACUUGGUGCCCAAGACUCGAGGCUCUCCGAGAGGGAGGGGCUGCUGGAGGCCUUAAAAUAGCCGACGCGUCUCUCAAGGGUGUCUCGACUCUAAGCACCAUCAUUUUUACCCUUUAACUUUGAAUGCCGAGAAACUUACAAAAGACUAGAAAACUUUUAGCAACGGAUCUCUAGGCUCUU